UACAGAGGUCUCAAGCGUUGUUCGGAAUCACUGGGCGUAAAGCGUGCGUAGGCUGUUUCGUAAGUCGUGUGUGAAAGGCGCGGGCUCAACCCGCGGACGGCACAUGAUACUGCGAGACUAGAGUAAUGGAGGGGGAACCGGAAUUCCUGGUGUAGCGGUGAAAUGCGUAGAUAUCAGGAGGAACACCGGUGGCGAAGGCGGCUUACUGGACCAUAACUGACGUUGAGGCUCGAAAGCGUGGGGAGCGAACAGG
rnacentral:rRNA from 1 species